AGCAGCCGCGGUAAUUCCAGCUCCAAUAGCGUAUAUUAAAGUUGUUGCAGUUAAAAAACUCGUAGUUGAAUUUCGGGAUCAGUAGGUCGGUCGUGCCACUGGUAUGAACUGGUCUCACUGGUUCCUCCCUCUUGACGAACUGCAAUGCUAUUAAUUUAGUGUAGUAGGAAAUCAGGACUGUUACUUUGAAAAAAUUAGAGUGUUUAAAGCAGGCUUUGGCUUGAAUACAUUAGCAUGGAAUAAUGAAAUAGGACGUUCGAUCCUAUUUUGUUGGCUUCUAGGAUUGACGUAAUGAUUAAUAGGGACAGUUGGGGGCAUUAGUAUUCAAUUGUCAGAGGUGAAAUUCUUGGAUUUAUUGAAGACUAACUACUGCGAAAGCAUUUGCCAAGGAUGUUUUCAUUAAUCAAGAACGAAAGUUAGGGGAUCGAAGACGAUCAGAUACCGUCGUAG
rnacentral:rRNA from 1 species